rnacentral:lncRNA from 1 species
AUGAUGGAGAGGAAGUUUUCAGUGGUGCCCAAUACAUUGUACAGAAGCACUAAGCCUUCCAUGGAAGCACCAUCAGAAGUAGAAGAAUACUUCGUACACACAAGUGGAUUUUCCUGAAAGCUAUAAUGACAUAAACAGUCUCUAAUAAUGGGAACGUCAGGUGUCCUGAUGAAAGAUUUCCUAGCAACUAUAGAACAACAGAUAGAGGUAAUAUUUAUUGAUUAAACAGUUGAAAUUUUUUGUUAAUUGUAAAGUAUUCCCUUUUCAGUACAUCUGCAUAUGAAAGACGUAAAGCUUAUUUUGUGGAAUAUGUGAAUAUAUGAAUUGUGUUAUAGUUCCUGUCACUGGUAUUUAAGUGGUGAAUCAUGAUGAAACUGCCAAACCUGAUAUGUUGAUGAGAAACUUCAUACGGAUCUGGCUACUGAGAUGAAACCACUUAAAUAAUUCUUUGAAAAGUCACUUCAUCUUUCAGUCAUUGUCCCAGUUGGUGUUACUUUUAUGACUGUCCCCAUCUGCAGGCCAGAUGCCAGGUGCUCCAGGUUGUGAAUAAGGAUGUUGGUGCAUUAUUUAAAGUCACCUCGGGUCUAUUUUGACAUGGAUGUGUGCUGCUGCAGCAGCUACUGUCUUUAAAGAGCAGAGAGAGGGAAGAGUUAGACCUCUGUAACUUGAGGUACCCUGUCUUGCAGUGGGUGAAGUCCCCUGGUAAGGAAGCAUUGCUGGUGUUGGAAAGCUAGUGGUGAUGUUUGUGCUUU